UACGGAAGGGGCAAGCGUUGUUCGGAAUCAUUGGGCGUAAAGAGCUCGUAGGCGGUUUGUCGCGUCUGCUGUGAAAACUCGGGGCUUAACCCCGGGCCUGCAGUGGGUACGGGCAGACUAGAGUGCGGUAGGGGAGACUGGAAUUCCUGGUGUAGCGGUGAAAUGCGCAGAUAUCAGGAGGAACACCGGUGGCGAAGGCGGGUCUCUGGGCCGUAACUGACGCUGAGGAGCGAAAGCAUGGGGAGCGAACAGG
rnacentral:rRNA from 1 species